UUCAUUUUUCUCCCCUUAAUUAACUAUCCAGUUUGAUGGAUUUUUAAGGAAAACCUAGCGUAGCUCUGUUGUAUCCACAACCAGAGGGCGAAAACGCUUUUAUCACGUGUCACAUAAUUCACAAACAAUAAUCACUUCACUAAAAGAUGAAAAUUUGUUAUCAGAUGAUGUCGAAAAUAUUAUAGUACAGGGACAUCUUCUAUAUUCCUUAAAUACAUAUACACAGUGGAGGCAUCUUAAACCCACAAAAAAAUAUAUACAGGUGAAUUCCGUCAAUUUGCAUUGACUGCAUUUUUAUUCACCUAAGGCUUACAGAUAUCUCAAAUCACACUUUUGUAUGCCUCCGGAAUCCACAUUAAGGGCAUGGAGUCACAAGAUUGAAAUCAUGCCAGGUUUCCUUUCUAUUUCAUUUACUUAAAUUAAAAGCUACCAAAAAAAAUCAGAAAAGCAGUUGUAUUGCGUACUUAGCCUUGAUGAAAUGCAUAUUAAAACACAAAUAGAUUAUGACCCCCACAAAGCAGAAUAUCAUGGUUAUGUUGAUUUAGGUGAUGGGACAAAAUCAACAAAGGAAGAUAAAUCUUGUCCAGAAGCAACAAAGGUACUGUUUCUUAUGGCUACCUGUCUUAAUAGCAGCUGGAAAAUGCCAAUAGCCUAUUUUCUAGUUCACAAAUGAAUUCAGAUAUCCUAGCUAAUUUAGUGAGAGAUGCAUUGUUCAAUCUAAAUGAAACUGGAGUUAUCUGUAAGGCCAUAGUAUGCGAUGGUUGUUCUGUUAAUAAAAAUGAGCAAACUGCUUGGUGUUAGUAUGGAUCCUGAUAAUAUCAUUCCAUAUAUUGAGCUGGAAUUUUAUGAUUCGGAAAUUUUUUUUUAUAUUACUAGAUGUUUGUCAUGUGCUCAAAUUACUUAGAAAUCUAUUAGCGGAGGAGAAAAUUUUAAUAAAUGAAUCAAAUGGAGAGUUAAUAGAUUGUAAGCAUAUACAAAGUUUACAUAAAUUGCAGGAGAGAGAAGGUUUACAUGCUGCAAAUAAAUUGCACAAAGCACAUAUUUUUCCACAAACAAAAAGUGAAAGUUAAACUUGCUGUUCAAGUUUUUAGUGCAUCUGUUGCAAAUAGCCUAAUAGCCUUCUUUUUGCCCAGCAUCAGGAGAUUCCUGGAUUUGAAAAUUGUGAUGGUACAAUUAAUUUUAUAUUGAUGAUAUAUCAAAUCUUUGAUUAUCUUAAUACAAGAAAUUGUCUUGGUAAAGGAUAUAAAGCCUUUUUAUAUACUAAUACAAUUGCAGAAUAUGAAACUCAUUUUGACAAGUGCAUUAAAACUUUAAAAUCACUCAAGUUAACAAAUGGAGUUUAUGUAAAUCUAAUAAAAAAAACAUGUGUAGAAGGGCUAAUUCUUUCUAUCACAAGCAUCCUGGAAAUGGGGAAGGAGUUAUUAAUUGGGGAAACCCCAAAAAUGAAGUUUUUUUUAACAUACAAAACCUCUCAAGACCACUUAGAAUUAUAUUUUUGUAGUAUUCGUAGCAGGAGUGGAUUUAAUGAUAAUCCAUCAGCAUAUCAAGUUCAAUCUGCUGUUCGCAUUUCAUUAAUGGCAAAAUUGGAUGCAACAAUUACAGGAAAUUGCAUUUCCUUAGACAAUACACAUAUAAUAUGUUCAAAUUUUCAAAAUAAUCAUGAUGAUGAAUGUAAUUCUAUCAAAGCUAUUUCAAAUCCAAUAAUACCCACCAUAUUAUCUUAUUAUUUUAGCCAAACAAAUCCCCAUAUCCCGAAAUUAUCAUUAUAUUUAGAUAAUGUAUCAACUUAUAUUUUGGAUAGUACAACAACUUAUUAAAGAAAAAAAGGUACGUUGUGAUGUUUGCAUUAAUGCAAUGGUCAGUGAUUCAUAUAUUGAUAAUAUAAUAAAUAAUAUGCUCAUAAAUUUUAAAAAUAAUGGGGGGGGGGUUAGUGAUUCCUUCAUCUAGUAUGUCAAUAUUAUGCCAAAUUUGUGAAAGUUCAUUUAGAACUUAUCAAAAUGAUAUUAAACAUAAAAAUAUCAUUAAAAAAAUGGAAGUGUUUGUUUUUCCCAAAAUAAUUGGUUCAAAUAUUUUUAUUGAUCUUACUGAACAUAUUAUUGAACAUGAAAUUGGUUACAGCCAUUUUCAAAUUCUUGUAAAAUUAAUUGUUCAAAGAUAUUUAAAUAUUAGAUUUUUUCAUUUUGCUGACUUGAGAAACCAGGAAUUGAGAACUGGUAUGAGGCAAAAUCUUACAAAAGCAAUACAAUUUAAUAAUCAAUAAGUCAUGUGAUGAUCGAAUCAAAAAGGAUGAAUAUUUAUAAUCAAAGAUAAUAUGAAUGUGAAUAUACAUUUUGUUUUUUAAAGUGUACACCUUUACAUUUUUAUAUAUUUAUUGUAUAAACCUUAUUUAAAUGAUUUAUAUUAUUAU